GGCGGCGGGGCGGGGCAGGACAGGGCAGGGCGCUCCCCGCAGCCGCACCGGCUCUGCCCCGGGCGCUCCUCCGCCGCCGCUCCCGGCUGGGGAUGUCGCGGGGCUCGGCGGGGACGUGACACCCCGCGGGGCUGAGACGUGACCCCGUGGAAGCCUCGGGAAAGCGGGAGGCACCACGAGUGCCGCUGCAGGGCUUCCUACCGAGUUAAAAACUCUCGGAGCACAGCAGCGUUUUCCCCAUCCCUCUGCUGCCCCGAGCCGUGGCCGGACGCGCUCUGCCCGGCCCUGGCCCCGCUCCGCUGCGGCACCCCCGGCCCCGCGCCCCUUCCCACGGGAGGCGGCAGAGCACGAAACAAAGGAACCCUCCGGCCGGCUACUGUUUAUCUGGUGUCACUGGCUGCCUAAGGCAGAUACGGGACACCCCCAUAAAGCAGUGUUUACAUUUCUCCGGCCACUUUGACCCUUUGCUGCAAUCCCGUGUCCUUUGUCUUAUACAAGGGGGUGAGUGACCAGCUUUCAUCAUACUGAUAGAGCGUUUAGGUCGUUGGUGAGGAUUUGAGAGAUCCUGCCUUGGCCGGGGCAGGGAGGCACCGGGCUCCUGACAGUUGCAGAAGUUGAGGUGCCCGAGGACAAAUCUUCAGAGCACAAGCACUCUGUAACGCUACCCAAAGUUGUAGGUGGUUGGUUCUCUUUGGCGGAUGAGAUAAUUAAGUGGAUCCUAAGGGUCUGGGCCAGUGUGUGCUAAAUAAAGCAUCCAAAUCAGUCAGUGCUUAUAUUUUGCUCUUGAUAUUUCUUUCUUAUUCCUCGAGUAUUGAAACAAAAGAUAAUAAAAAACCCUUAGCAAUACAGGCUUGGCUUUUUGCCUCUGCUGUUCAAAUCACAGCUUCCCCUCUCAUCACAAGGACACACUUAUUUUUUGUUUUGAUGAAGCAUCUGGCAGAGUAGUUUUUCUAUAAUUUUAGAUAUUAUUCCAUGCUGUCACUGCUUUAGAGAGUCUUUCUAAUACCUUAUUGCAGGUACUGCAAGACCAUUUUCAUUAGUUCAUGUAAAGUGCUUUGAACAAAAUCAUGAACAGCAAUUCUAACCAUGAGAGUAAACUGGUAAUUCUCUGGUCUUAAUGUUACUUGCUUCCCCUUGUUUUAGAAGGUGAAGCAUGUUUUCAGUUCACUGUAGUAUAUGCAUCAACUAUUUAUGUCUAACUCAAUAAUUAUUACAAAUAGCUUCCUUUUUAUUUUAUAAUUUCACUUUAAAACUUCAGAGUGGUAAUGAGGAAUUAAUUUUGGAACAUCUGUUUUGAUUUUUGCCUUAAAACUUGUUUAUAAAGGUGUCAUUGUGUUUAUGCAACUAGGUUCCCUAGUGGAUGCAUUUUCCAGAGUAUAAAAUCCUCCAGUGUUCUCACUGAGUAUGUUUGUUUUCAAGUUAACAUCACAGAGCAGGAGAUAUUACUUGACAAAACAAAUAUAAAAGGCCCUUCACAAACUCCUCCCAGCUCCCCUGCUUACUUCAGUUACCAGCUGAAUCACUGGCAGAAAGAAUAAUCUACUGUGCACUUUUGAAAAACUAUAACAGGAAAUCAUUGGCAAUUGCUUUAUUAAAAGAUUUUUAUGUCAGUUUAGUGCUGUGCUUACUUAUGUGGCGUUUUCCAUUUAAUUUUUUUUUUUUCCUGGAACCAGUCUCAUGAAAUAAUGUUUGCCAUUGAUAAUGGCUACCAGCAUUCCUAGAGGUGACUAUGCUUUAACACAAGUAAGGCAAACAAACCUCCCAGCUGCCAGGGAAAGAGGACAAAAUUACUGCAAAAGUUGAGACAGUGUAUCUGCAGAGAGCACUAAUCAACUUCAGUAAAAAUCCUUUACUUGCUUCCACACUUCUCAAGUUACUCAUUCCUCUUUGCUUUUCUGAGAAAAAUACUGUUAUUCAUUCUCUUGUUUAACCAAGCUGUCUGCUAAAGUGUUGAGUAAUACCGAGGUUCCUUACAAGUAAAGUAUUUUAGGUUA